AUUGAACGCUGGCGGCAGGCCUAACACAUGCAAGUCGAGCGGAUGAAGGGAGCUUGCUCCUGGAUUCAGCGGCGGACGGGUGAGUAAUGCCUAGGAAUCUGCCUGGUAGUGGGGGAUAACGUCCGGAAACGGGCGCUAAUACCGCAUACGUCCUGAGGGAGAAAGUGGGGGAUCUUCGGACCUCACGCUAUCAGAUGAGCCUAGGUGGGAUUAGCUAGUUGGUGGGGUAAAGGCCUACCAAGGCGACGAUCCGUAACUGGUCUGAGAGGAUGAUCAGUCACACUGGAACUGAGACACGCUCCAGACUCCUACGGGAGGCAGCAGUGGGGAAUAUUGGACAAUGGGCGAAAUCCUGAUCCAGCCAUGCCGCUGGUGGGAAGAAGUUUUUCGGAUUUUAAAGCACGUUAAGUUGGGAGGAAGGGCAGUAAGUUAAUACCUUGCUGUAUUGACGUUACCAACAGAAUAAGCACCGGCUAACUUCGUG
rnacentral:rRNA from 1 species